rnacentral:rRNA from 1 species
GACAGAGGGUGCAAACGUUGCUCGGAAUUACUGGGCGUAAAGGGCGUGUAGGCGGGAAGGCAAGUCGGGCGUGAAAGCCCCAGGCUCAACCUGGGAACUGCACUCGAAACUGCCUUUCUUGAGUGCCGGAGAGGAAAGCGGAAUUCCUGGUGUAGAGGUGAAAUUCGUAGAUAUCAGGAGGAACACCAGUGGCGAAGGCGGCUUUCUGGACGGUAACUGACGCUGAGACGCGAAGGCGUGGGGAGCGAACGGG